rnacentral:rRNA from 1 species
ACGGAAGGCAGCAGUGGGGGAUAUUGCACAAUGGGGGAAACCCUGAUGCAGCGACGCCGCGUGAGUGAAGAAGUAUUUCGGUAUGUAAAGCUCUAUCAGCAGGAAAGAUAAUGACGGUACCUGACUAAGAAGCACCGGCUAAAUACGUGCCAGCAGCCGCAGUAAUACGUAUGGUGGCAAGCGUUAUCCGGAUUUACUGGGUGUAAAGGGCGCGUAGGCGGGGAAGCAAGUCAGAUGUGAAAUCCAUGGGCUCAACCCAUGAACUGCAUUUGAAACUGUUUCUCUUGAGUGCUGGAGAGGUAGAUGGAAUUCCUAGUGUAGCGGUGAAAUGCGUAGAUAUUAGGAAGAACACCAGUGGCGAAGGCGAUCUACUGGACAGUAACUGACGCUGAGGCGCGAAAGCGUGGGGAGCAAACAGGAUUAGAUACCCUGGUA